UGCAAGUCGAGCGGACAGAUGGGAGCUUGCUCCCUGAUGUUAGCGGCGGACGGGUGAGUAACACGUGGGUAACCUGCCUGUAAGACUGGGAUAACUCCGGGAAACCGGGGCUAAUACCGGAUGGUUGUUUGAACCGCAAGGUUCAAACAUAAAAGGUGGCUUCGGCUACCACUUACAGAUGGACCCGCGGCGCAUUAGCUAGUUGGUGAGGUAACGGCUCACCAAGGCAACGAUGCGUAGCCAACCUGAGAGGGUGAUCGGCCACACUGGGACUGAGACACGGCCCAGACUCCUACGGGAGGCAGCAGUAGGGAAUCUUCCGCAAUGGACGAAAGUCUGACGGAGCAACGCCGCGUGAGUGAUGAAGGUUUUCGGAUCGUAAAGCUCUGUUGUUAGGGAAGAACAAGUACCGUUCUAAUAGGGCGGUACCUUGACGGUACCUAACCAGAAAGCCACGGCUAACUACGUGCCAGCAGCCGCGGUAAUACGUACGUGGCAAGCGUUGUCCGGAAUUAUUGGGCGUAAAGGGCUCGCAGGCGGUUUCUUAAGUCUGAUGUGAAAGCCCCCGGCUCAACCGGGGAGGGUCAUUGGAAACUGGGAAACUUGAGUGCAGAAGAAGAUAGUGGAAUUCCACGUGUAGCGGUGAAAUGCGUAAAGAUGUGGAGGAACACCAGUGGGCGAAGGCGACUCUCUGGUCUGUAACUGACGCUAAGGAGCGAAAGCGUGGGGAGCGAACAGGAUUAGAUACCCUGGGUAGUCCACGCCCGUAAACGAUGAGGUGCUAAGUGUUUAGGGGGGUUUCCGCCCCCUUAGUGCUGC
rnacentral:rRNA from 1 species